rnacentral:rRNA from 1 species
GUGUACGUAAGUUAUCCUGGAGCGGUGAGUAAAGCAAAUGUAGGAAUAAGUAACGAUAAGGAGGGUUAGAUUCCCUCCCGCUGUAAGACCAAGGUUUCCCGGGCAAUGCCAAUCAGCCCGGGGUCAGUCGGGUCCUAAGUCUAAGCCGAACGGCGAUGGCGAUGGCAGAGACGGUUAAUAUUCCGUCACUGCCGCAUGGGGCGACGUGGAGACGGAGCAGUGAAACCACCGCGGGGCGACGGAAGUCCCCGUUGAAGAGUGUAGGUGUUGAGGAUGGCAGGCAAAUCCACCGUCCGAGCUGAACUUGAUAGUAUGGAGUCUUCUUCGGAAGAAUCCAAUAGUGUGGGUAAUCAUACUCCCGAGAAAAUCCGCUAAGCUUAACCCAUGCGGCACCCGUACCGCAAACGGACACACGUGGUCGGGUAGAACAUACUGAGGCGCUUGGAAGAUUCACGGUUAAGGAACUAGGCAAAUUGACCCCGUAACUUCGGAAUAAGGGGUCCUC